UCACGAAAUGGUUUGAGCUAAUUAUAUAUAGUUUAUAGAUUAUACGCAGUGUGUGGCAUAAUACUGGAAAAAGAUAUAAUUAGGUGUGAUAGGCUUUUCAAAGACCAGGAUAUCUUGAUGGCGCCUAAACGUAUUAAGUACGUUAAACAAAUAUAAAGUGUUUAGGCUUUAUAUAACUUCAAAAUAGAUUUCGGGAUUUUAAGGUUUAAUCAUCUUUAAAUAGAGGAUUCCAGUAUUAAUUUUCCUCCAAUUGAGGUUUAAACGCGCUUCUAUAUGAAUUAAGGUGAAUAGUAAUAAUGUUACCAUUAGUAUUAAUUGAGGCGUUUAAAAUGAACUCGGCAAAAAAUAUUCUCGACUGUUUACCAAAAACAUAGCUGUAUGUGAUUUAUAUAUAGUGAUUUCUGCUCAAUGUAAUAUAAAUAGCCGCAGUACUCUGACUGUGCAAAGGUAGCAUAAUCAAUUGGCUUAUAAUUGAAGUCUAGUAUGAAAGAAAAUACGGGGAUAGACUAUAUAAUAGACGUUUUUAAAAAUUACUUAAUAAGUGAAAAGACUUACGUUUAAAUAAUAGACGAGAAGACCCUAGAAAUUUUGAGAACGGUAUAUGUAUAGGUUUUUGUUGGGGCGACACAGUAGCAUCAUAACCUACUAAGAUGGAUAUAAUUAAUAUAUUAGGAAUAAUUAAAUUACUCUAGGGAUAACAGCAUAAUAUUCAAAAGUUUGUGACCUCGAUGUUGGACUAGGAUACUACCACCCAGAAGGUUACUAGCUAGGCUCUGUUCGAGCAAUUGUCCUACAUGAUCUGAGUUCAGACCGGCGUAAGCCAGGUCAGUUUCU
rnacentral:rRNA from 1 species